GCACGUAAACAUAAACAAGUGUGAAACAUUAUAAAUAGCACUUAUGACUAAAAGCCAUAUUAUUCUAACAAAACACAGCCACGUGAAGGGAGCACGAUGCCGGACAACAGCGCUCACUCAACAGGGGUAUUCCAGUCCACUGCACCUGUCCCAUCGAACACAGACAAGUGCCGAGACAUGGUCACAGUGGGCCAGUAAACUCCCAGGAAAUAGACAGGCACUCCAGUCAGCAUAAUGACCAGCCCCACUCCACACACCAGCGGCUCCGAGUGCAAACUGAAGCCCAGCAGUAGAGCCCAGAAGAGCAGGUAACACACA